rnacentral:lncRNA from 1 species
UGUGAGAUUUUUUAUGCCAAAGAGUUUUUUUCUUCUCUAUCUCAUAUCUAAAUUUAAUUUAAUUUUGAUAAAAAAAAUUUUAAAAUUAAAUUUUAAAAUAUUCCUUAUCAAGAGAGUCUGUUCUUAUCCAAAUCAACCUUUCCACGCCCACUUAUUUUUUUCUCUUUGUAUAUACGAUAUUUUGAAGAGAUUUUUCAUGGGAGAUCAGGUACUGAUUUACCAUAAAAAAUAUGAAAAGGGGCAUCCCAUAUUUUUUUGACAUAUUUUAGUAUAAAUUUUUGAGUAGGGGUGACAACACAUCAAGAGUCCAUGAUCUUUAGGACUCUUCACCCCACCUCCUUAUACAUUGAAAUAAAAGGAGUUUUAUUUCAUUCUUAUGCAUGUAAGAGACCUAAGAG